AACGAACGCUGGCGGCAGGCCUAACACAUGCAAGUCGAGCGAGGACUUCGGUUCUAGCGGCGGACGGGUGAGUAACGCGUGGGAAUGUGCCCUUCUCUACGGAAUAGCCCUGGGAAACUGGGAGUAAUACCGUAUACGCCCUUUUGGGAAAGAUUUAUCGGAGAAGGAUCAGCCCGCGUUGGAUUAGGUAGUUGGUGGGGUAAUGGCCUACCAAGCCGACGAUCCAUAGCUGGUUUGAGAGGAUGAUCAGCCACACUGGGACUGAGACACGGCCCAGACUCCUACGGGAGGCAGCAGUGGGGAAUCUUAGACAAUGGGGGCAACCCUGAUCUAGCCAUGCCGCGUGAGUGAUGAAGGCCUUAGGGUUGUAAAGCUCUUUCAGCUGGGAAGAUAAUGACGGUACCAGCAGAAGAAGCCCCGGCUAACUCCGUG
rnacentral:rRNA from 1 species